ACUGCUGGAGUUACACCUGGUUCUUUGGUCUCUGAACCAUUUCUUCAUGGAAAAAGUGCAGAUCAGAUAGGCCAUAUCUUUUCAGGAUCCUCCAGCAUAGCCCCGAACCCGAAGUCAUCGGAUUAACAUGUUUGGAUUCACUUUUAAGUUUGUGAGAAUCGCUUCUGCCUCCAUAAACAUAAUAGCUUCUUUCAUAACCACUUCUUUCUGAACGAGGAAAUCUAUGUGUUUCCAAGCACACCAUAGGAAAAUAAACUAUAGAAUGCCAUCAAGGCCUUGUAAAAAUUGGUCUCGUGAUUCUUCAAUCCAUUAUCUAUAAUUGAUAUAUGUGGAAUGUUGUAUGAAGACAAUCUUUUAUCUCUGUGCCCUACUCUCUCUUCUCUCUUGUUUCUCUCUGCUCUUUUCAUCCUCAAACAAACACAGUGUAAGCGAGUCACAACUCUUGUGUAUAAAAAAAAAAAAACUCUUGUAAGAAAAGUCAAUUCCACCCGCCUGAAUGUUCCUAACUUGAAUAAAAUUGUUUCCAUGGUUUUUUUAUAAGCAAGAUUGUUUCCAUGGUACAUGUGUUUAACAAAAAAAAAAUAAUAAUAACUUGAUCAAGUUUACUAUUAUUUACGACUAGAAAUUAAACCCGUGCGUUGCACGGGUUUUUUUUUAAGUUAUAUGUUAAAUUUAUCUUCGUAUAUGUAAUAAUAUAGUAAAUGUAUUGUGUAGUAGAUAAUUAAAAAUAAGAUAAAUAUAUUAAAUGUAAUUACAUUGAUAAAGUUUAAUAAAAUAUUUAUUGUAAACUAAUUUUUUAGUAUAUUAAAAAAUAUUUUAUGUUGCUUACUAAAAUUAAUUUUCAAUUCAUUUCGUGAUCAUAUGUUUUCAUAAUAGUACACUCUCUAUAAUAAGUAAAAGGAGGGAAAUAUAUAAUUAGAGUUGAAUAACUUAGUUUGUGUUUUGUGCAAAAUGAUGUUUCUCUCUUACUUUUAUGCAUGUUUUCACCUUGAAAGCAAUGUUUGCAAUUGAAUUUUUAUGAGGACAAUGGUAUAGAAAAUGUUUAAUUAUGAAAAAUAUUUUUGGUGAUGCAUAUAAAAAAUUAUAUUAUUUAUUGUUUAAUAAGCAUUUAAUUAGUUAAUAUGUAGUUUGUAAGAAAUUAUAUUUUUUAAUUUAAUUAGUUGAUAAAUGAAUUAAGAUAAUAGUUUAUCUUUUUGGUACAUCAGAAAUAUAUAUUGCACCCUUCAUGGAUUGAUAUUUUGACCUCCCCCACCCUACCCACAUGUCCUCUAGCUCUUGCCACUUAAGCUAUCAUUCGAUGACAUAUAAUAAUUUAUCUUAUUCAAUAUAAACUUUUUACAAUUUUGAAGAUAGUAAAAAAUUGAAAAAACUUUAUAAGUGCAAUUUACAAACACAAAUCGUUCUAUCUGAUGUAUAUCUAUCAUAGUGGUUAAAAUUAACUCUUUAAUCCCUAAGUUCGAUCAUUAAGAACUGUACUCUAUGGGAGACCUUUGACUUUAAUCACACUCGAGUAGAACAUGAUUUCCUCAGUAGAUGAUACAUGUGGCUAAAAAACUAACAAAAAUUGUAAAGACUUAGUUAAAAAACUUCAUAAGCUCGUCUACUAUGAAUAUAAAGAUAAAAAUAAGUGGAAGUUGGGUAAGAAUAAUUUUUAUUUUUUAUCAAUUAAGAAAAAUUUUAAGUAUACCAAAUAUAAUUGCAUUUAGGAAGUUCAUUAAACACUUUAUUGUAUACUACUUUUUUUUUCCUAUUAUAGGUGAGUGCAACAAUAAUAAACCUCAGGGAAAGUUAGUGCAAUAUGUCCAUAUUUAUGUAAAAAUCAUAUUAAAUAUUAUUACCAAUUUUUUUUUAAUAUGAAUUAUAAUUAUUAUCAACCAAAAAUUUCAAAAUUAAACUAUUUUGAAAAAUGAAUUUAUUUGAGUUAUUCUUUUAUUUUUUAUAAAAAAUAUGAUAUGCAUAGUAUUUUAAAUAUACCUUCUAAUUUUAUUAAUUUAUUUUUAAUAUAUUUAAUUUAUUUAUUAUCAUAUAUGUAUUUAAUUAGGAAAAUUACUCUAUUAUAAUCAAUAAUUACUUGAUAAAAAAUAUAAAAAUAGCAAUAUUAAGAAGAAUCAUUAAAUGAUAACCACAAUAUGUAAUUAAUGUAAAAACUCAAGUGAGCUUUAUAUAUAUAUAGAUUUUUUAUUAAAAUUAUUAAAUAAAAUUGUUUCUUAAUUUUUAAUUGAGUGCCAAUCACAUAUAAAUUUUUUUUGUUGGGACCGAAAUCACAUAAAACUUAAACACCAACUAUAUGGUAAAUAUUAUCUAACUAGUUAAUAGGUUCAAAAAAAUUUAUCUAACUAGUUAAUAUAAUGCGAUAUUCAUAAAAACAUUAAAAAUAAGUUCAAAAUAUUUAAAUUUUUAAUAUUAAUGAAAAUAUUAAAUGAUGUUUAGAUAUUUUUAUCUCAUCACACAUGAACUUUUUUAAUAUUAAAUAUUUAUAUUUUUUUAAUAUAUUUUAGUAAAUUAGAUAUAAAAAAUACCUCUCCAGUGAUUCUAGAUAAAAUUUAUGCUUAAUUUCAUUUUCAAUUCUCCUAAUAUAGUGUUUUGGUGAAUUUGGUCUUACAGUUUUUUCAGUUAAUUUAAGUCCUCUAAUUUUUUAAAUUAAAAAAAAAUUAUCUUCUCUAUAAUUUUUCAUCGAAUAAUAAUGUCAGCAUACAAUAUUUCAAGGACACGUCAUCACUAAUGUGGAUAAUAUAAUUUUUUCUUUGAAAAAAUAAAAUUGAAAUUACAAUUACAACGGUUCCCUCUUCUAGCGUGGUUGGGUUCGUGUGUGAGGAGGAUGCUUUAGCUUUGUUUUGUUUUGUCAUUUUUUCUUUUCAUUUUUCACAUGGAAAAAAAGGAAAUUAAUUUAUUCACACUCAUACCUCAACAAUAGAGAUAUAAAUAGAAGAGAAAGAAGAAGAAAAUAUGAAAAAAAAAUGAGUAAAAUUAAAAUAAAGGAAAAAAUUGUAUGAAUAAUCAAAGUUGAAAAGAAUAUAUUUGCAGGUAAGGAUUGAAUUUCAGUAUAGAAAAAUUUUAGGUCCAUGAAAAGUAAAUAAAAAAUAUAAAACUCUUAAUAUUUUUCAUCUUAAAUUAUUACACGUGAACAUUUUUUAAUGUUAAAUAUUUUAUUAUUUUAUUAUAUCAAAAUAUGUUAGUAGAUUAGAAAUAAAAAAUACCCCUCGUGCCCUGUGAUUCUAGAUAAAAGUUAUUAAAAUAAAUGGCGUGUCAUUAUUUAAUUCAUGAGGAAUUAUAUAAAGGAAAACGAUUUGUACAAAUAUGCAGACAAUAUAAUAGACACAUAUGUUAGUGUGAACAUAGAAUAGAUACCCACAAAAAAUGAAGAGAAUAGAGCAAAAUAAUUGAUGUAAUAAACAAUAGGAGUGACAGAUUGAGAGAAAAAAUAGGUGUAUAUUAUAUGUCUGACUAUCAUUAGUUUUAUAUAAAAUAAAAGAAAUUGAAACUAUGCAUUUAAGUCUGUUUUUGCAUGUGGUUGACUUGAUGAAUUUAUGUGUGGUGUGAUGUGAGUGUUGUGUGGGAAUUACAUAUACUUGAAAUGGCAACACCUUCUUCUUCUUCAGGGUCAAUGGGAGUUAAAGAUACAUGGAAGUCCCAUUUGGGCUUGGCGAUGGUGCAGCUAUUCUAUGGUGGCUACCAUGUCAUCACCAAAGUGGCCCUGAAUGAUGGGGUCAACCAACUUGUCUUCUGCUUCUACCGGGAUCUCCUUGCCUUCUGCAUUCUUGCUCCCAUCGCUUUCUUCAAAGAAAGGCAUGAUAUUUCUUCUUCCAUUUUUUUCUUCCCUUUUCACCUUUCUUUCAACCAAGAACCGAACUAAUUAUCCACAUGAAUGGUUUUAUAUUAUUAUUCGUGACACGCCCCCUCAUGUAAGAGCCUGUUUUUGGGCUUUCAUGUCUGUGCUCGAAGCGUGGAUAAUGCAUUUUCUCAUCUACUAUGUGCUGAAAUUCAACUUUUUAUUAGAAGAAUUGAGGUCAUAUAUAGAGGCUCUGAAACAUGAACUGAUUAUGCUAUAUUUCAAAAGCCAAGGGCUGCUGUUUUGAGAUAUAUAUGUUUAAUUGUGGGUUAUCUUCUUAUGAAUGCACUAGGCACAAUGGGUAUAAUACAUAUAUAUUUUUUUACCAUUCUAGCCUGGGAAAGGGGGAAUCCUAAUUAAAUUCAACUAUGCACUUUUUCUUCCUGCUAAAUUUGAAGUAUGCUUGGUAUUUAAUUACUGAUGUAAAAUGCCUUAUUAUUUAAAAUCUGGUAUUCUGGUUCUAGAAAUGUUCUACUUAUGCUUGAUUGUUGCUAAUGGUUCCAUAUCUGGCUUAUUUUGGUUGAUGGCAGCAAAGCAUGAGUUAUACCUGCUUUUUUCAAUUAGAUGAGCUACUCACUCAAGCUUAAGAAUUGGAAUUUUAACUCGAAAUUGGUUUCCUUCAAUUUAUUUCUGAUGUGUGAGUAUUUUAAUCCUUGCUGACUGUAGACAAACAAGACCGCCUAUUGAUAAGAAGCUAUUGAUGUCAUUCUUGUUUCUUGGAUUAACAGGGUAAGGGUCUUGCUCCAGUUCAUAUUUUUGUUUUAUAUGAAAUACAUAGUGUUCUGUUCAUGCAUAUUAUGUUUGUUUGAUCAGGAUAUUUGGCAACCAGCUCUUGUUUCUCAUUGGUUUAAGUUAUACAAAUCCAACUUAUGCUUCUGCUGUACAGCCAGCCAUUCCAGUUUUUACAUUUCUGUUUACCGUGAUAAUGGGGUUAGUUUCACUUUUACCAUUUUCUAUCUGAGUGUUUUAUGUAUGUUGUUCAUGAAAAGCACCAGAGAGACCGUACUAGGUCCAUUUAGGGAUGUCAAUAGAUACGGAUGGACAUGAAUAGUACAUAUAUGCCGGCCACCCACCCGUGGGUAAAAAUGCACGCUCGUACCCCUUCCAUACCCACAUGAAUAUCCAUUAAGUGGAUUUUUAACGGGUUCAACAAUAUUCACGGGUAUCCAUGGUCACCCAUGGAUAUAUAUUUGUCAAUAUUUAUUAAAAUACAAACUUAAGUAAAAGUACAUUUAAGAUAAAUAAAGGAUUUUGAAAUUAGAACAAUACUAUAAUACUAAAAUUAUUCAGUUCAGAUACACCAGGACAUAAAGUAAUGAGUAAUGUGUAGCUUAAUAUACUUAUUCGUGCAGUACAGAAAGCGUGAACUUGCUCAGAUGUGAAGGCCUGGCAAAGGUUGGAGGAACUGUUAUCUGUGUUUCAGGUGCCAUAUUGAUGGUUUUUUAUCGUGGUCCAGCAGUCAUAGGAUAUAGAGACGGGGGCCAUGAAACACAAAGUGAAAUCAGAGCCAGAGGUCAGACAGAGCCUUCUGGAUGGUUAAUCAGUGGUUUACAAGAUCUUGGAUUAGACCAUUUUAAACUUGGUGUCAUUUGCUUGAUAGGGAACACUUUGUGCAUGGCUGCUUUUCUAGCUUUUCAGGUAUCUAUUCUAGCUUUCGAAUUUUCCUCUUCCCCCUUUUCCCUUCCAACAAAAAACACACUACAACAAAGCUUUGAUGUUUUUCAUUUGAUUAAACCAAUCCUUUCAUACAGGUUAUCCCUUUUAAUGACCUAUUGCCAGAAGCACCAAUUAGGGUCAUUAAAAUUCUCUUCAUUAAUAACAUUAGUUAAGCUCACUCUACAACUUUUGUGAAGCAAUUUAUUGUGAACUUGUGAUCCUAGAUUCUUUUAUUUGUGACAUUGUCAGCGAGUUUUACUUGUGUCCAUUAAUUAUUUUCAGGCACCAGUAUUAAAAAAGUAUCCUGCAAAUCUCUCUGUCACAACAUAUUCAUUCUUCUUUGGAGUUGUACUAAUGGUGAUAAUGUCGUUGUUCAUUACUGAUGGACCGAGUGAUUGGAUUUUGACACAAUCAGAAAUACUUGCCGUUAUUUAUGCUGUGAGUCACUCAAAAUUUCAAAUCAAUCUUCAAUAUCACGACUCCUUAUAUUAGUCAUUGCUAUUGCGGAUUCUCUGGUCCAUUUUACUUCAUGGAACUGUUAUAGCCACCGUCAUGCUUGACAAGUUAAAAAACCAAGUUUCUCUAAAGCAUUCACAGGCAUGAGGCAUGUUUUGUAGCAUCCAAGCAAGUUUGACACCAUCUAAGUUGCAUGAACCGCUAGAUAGGCUACCUUUUAGUUGCAUAUAUAAGAAACUAAAGUUGACAUUUCCCUUAUCUAUAGUUGAGAAAAUAUGAUGGGAGCAGUAACAGUUUUAUUUUUUUAAAGUUGUAAUAGUUGAGAAUGAGAUGGAAGCAGCAAUAGCUGAGAAUAAGAUAGGAUUUAGCUGUUAUGGUUCAGCUAUUUGUACUGUCUUGUGAAGCAAAAUGGAGGGAAUAAAUAAUUUGCAGUGUCUUGCACAAAGUCAAAGAGUACAUUAAUAUGUCAUCGAAAAUUGUAUUUAGGUAAUGUACCUGAGGCAGUGAACUAAGAAAUGAAAGCUACUGGAGUAAAGCAAAGAGGUCUUUUUUUAAUGGAGGAAAAGAUUGAAAGUAUCCUAUGUUCUAAUUGAUUAUUUUGGUGGAGUUUUAACAUGUGGACUGUGACUUUCCUUAUUUACUCAGGGAACUAUUGCAUCUGCUCUUAAUUAUGGAAUCAUGACAUGGAGCAACAAGAUCUUAGGGCCAGCUUUGGUUGCUCUUUACAUGCCACUUCAACCUCUUUUUUCUUCUGUAAUGUCCCAGAUUUUCCUUGGAAGUCAAAUAUACAUGGGAAGGUAUAGCUCCUAUUACUUUCAGUUAUUGAUUCAUUUUGUUCCAACUUCUCAAAUGGACAUUUAAAAGUUUCCAACUACCAAUAACAAAGUAUAAGACAUUAAGAAUGAGAAAUUGCAAUCCAUCACUUGCUUAGGACUUAAAUGACUCUUAUCUAGUUGAAUUUGAUAUAGUUCUUUCAUGCAUUCUAAAAUUAUUUUAUUUCAGAAAAUCUUAUUAUUCUUGGUCUUUUUUUCCGUGUGAUGACAGUAUUAUAGGGGGAUCUUUUAUCAUUGCUGGUCUAUUUGUGGUUACUUGGGCCUCCUAUAGAGAAAGACAGGCAACUGCUGGAGUUACACCUGGUUCUUGGGUCUCUGAACCACUUCUUCAUGGAAAAAUUGCAGAUCAUAUAGACCACCUCUUUUCGGGGUCCUCUAGCGUAUCCCCGAACCCAAAGUCCUCAGAUUAACAUGUUUGGAUUCACUUUUAAGUUUGUGAGAAUCACACUUCUGCCUUCAUGAAAACUAGGCAUAAUAGCUUCUUUCAGAAUCACUUCUUUCCGAAUGAGGAAAUCCAUCGUGUUUCCAAGCACACCAUAGGAAAAUAAAUUACAGAAUGCCAACAAGGCUUUGUAAAUAUUGGUCUUGUGAUUCUUCAAUCUGUUAUUGCUAUCAUUUUAAUUGGAAACUCAAUACUUGAUGAAGUAUAUAUAUGUGGAGUGUUUGUUUGAGCAAAAACUUUUAUUAAAAUGCUUC
rnacentral:lncRNA from 1 species